AUAAAUCGGAGGAGUAUUACAGAAGCUCGAAGGUUCUUGAGCGUCCAAAAUGUCGAAUCGCCCCCGAUCGCUCUCCAUGAAAAAUGGCUUCUUCUGAGUAUAGUUGAAGGUUUUGAUUCUUCGUUUUGUUCUUGAUUUUUGUUUGUGAAGGUUAUGUUUGUGGAUGAUUACUUAAGCUUGAGUUUGAGGAAACAAAAGAUCGACGGAGAUGAACUAUGAGUUUCAUCCAAUGGCUUAGGGUUUUGUUCACAGUAAUCUUCACGGCGAAGAUCAUGACCGAGAAAUCUAGGUAAAGAUUCAUCAAUGUUCUUGGCGAAGAUAUCCAAGAAUCAUCGAAGGACGAACACGAACAAACCCUGGGAAAACGAUUCAAGGCGAAUAGGAUGUCAUAAGGUCAGUGGAUUUAUGAGCCAACUCAGAGAGAUUGGAGCCAACGGAUCGGCCGCGGAGCAUGCCGGUAUGGCGGUGGUGGCGGCAGCGGAAGGAGCCGAUGUGAGUGGUGGGAGAGCAGAGACAACUGGCCUUGGCGGAGGAAGGGGCCUUGGGCGCCAGUGAUCGGGACGGCGAAGAGGCGAGCAGGUUAGUGCCUUGCUUAAAAUCCUCUAGAUCGAAGUCUGUGAAUUGCGUUUUGUGGUGGUGAUUGGGGUUGUUUCUGUCGAUGGGCCUCGGAGCCUUGUGAUCUGGUUUAUGAUCCAUGGAUUGAAUUUUCUGAUGGAAAUGGAAUUAGGGUUUGUGAAUCUGUGGAAGAAGAAGAAGAAGAAGAAGAAGAAGAAGAAGAAGAAGAAGAGUUCUGUUCUUGGAGAAAUGCAAGCACAUUUUGACAUUGGGUUAGAAUAGACCUACGAAAAAUAGUUCGGCAUGGAUUCUAAUCAUGUCUCUACCAUCCGUUUCUCCCAGCUCAUGAGUAGCAUCCCGAGUCGACACAGCUACAACGUGGAGUCGGGAAAGCAUUCCUUGUCCUCACCCCCACAUUUGUUUUGGUAAGGAUUUUUCGAGAAUUUUUAUAUGAUAAAUUAGUUGUGUCUAUGUGAGAUCUCGUAUUGGUUGGAGAGGGAAGAGUGUGAAAACCUCUCCCUAACCGAUCGUUUUAAAACUUCGAGGGGAAGUCUGGAAGGGAAAGUCCAAAUAGGACAAAGGACAAUAUUUGCUGUUACAAAUGGUAUCAGACUGAGACACACCACCAAGCAAGGACAUUCGGCACCAAUGAGUGGAUUGUGACGUCUCACGUUGAUCAAAGAGGGAAACGAAACAUUAUUUACAAGAGUAUAGAAACCUCGUUUUAAAACCUUGAGGGGAAGUUCACAAAGGAGACAAUAUCGGCCAGUGGUGGAUUAGUUUUGAUGUAUAUAUAAAGCGACAAGACAGGAAUUCGAAGUCUGAAAACUAUUUUGAGUCUAAGUACUUAUAGGUACGAUACGAUCCAAAAUUAUAGACUUUUUUUUUUAAAAAAAAA